GGGAGCUUAGAUGUGGAAGCUCUUUGGAAACCAAGAAACACUCUGCAAAUGAAAAGGGUGGAAGAGUAAACUGUUCCUGUUUCUCCAUCUUGACAGGAAGCAGAAGUUCUCCUUAGCUGAUUUUUCUUCUUGCCUUAUACUGGGUUCUUUAACACCAGAACAAAAAUAAAUAAAUAAAAGAAUCUUCCAGAAAUUCAUGAAGAGACUUCAGGUCAGGAAAGCCUGAACUUUCUCAUCCAACACCUGUUCAAGUCGGAGGAUGCUGAUUAAUUCAUGAUGGAAAGGUAUCAAUUUCACAGCCCAGACCUCUACAUUCUUGAAAUGCUCUUCUCAUGGGAGACAUUAAAUAAGCUUUGAAUUAACUGGACUUAUCUUCCUCAGUUCUCUGUGAUGAACUUUUGUAGAGCCACACGAAAGGAGGUUUUUAGCUCUCACCUGUGGUCUUUCUUCAUCAUGCACCUCCUAGAUUCAAAAGUUCAGCAGGGACAUGUCAAGCUAUAUAAAUAAAAACAAACUAAGAAAAAAUGUAACAUUCCAUACCUUAAAACGCAACCUUAAUAACGUGAAAGACCCUGAAGGACUUGAGAUGUGAAGAUUUUCUACCACGGUCUUUGCAUGUAUUAUUUGUGACAGCUGUUCCUUUCUACUCCCUCUUGCACACAUCUUUAGUUACUCCCUGUUCUCCAUCCCUCUGAUAAAAUCUGGAGUUCUCCC
rnacentral:antisense_RNA from 1 species